rnacentral:rRNA from 1 species
GACGAACGCUGGCGGCGUGCUUAACACAUGCAAGUCGAACGAAGUGGCGAACGGGUGAGUAACGCGUAAUCAACCUGCCCUUCAGAGGGGUACUACAGUUGGAAACUACUCCUACUACCGCAUACUUAUUGAGGGGCUUGCGUCGGAGUUGCUCGUUGGUGGGGUAACGGCCCACCAAGGCGAUUAUAAGUAGACGGUCUGGGGGGAUGGACCAGCACAAUGGGACUGGGACAAGGGCCAGACGCCUACCGGAAGCAGGCGUGGGGGAAUAUUCGCAAAUGAGGAAAGUCUGACGGAACAAAGCCGCGUUGGUGAUGACGGCCUUCGGGUUGUAAAGCUCUGUUAAUCGGGACGCGGUACCGGAAGAGAAAGCAACGGCUAACUACGUGCCAGCAGCCGCGGUAAUAC